CCCACUGCUUCACCAUAACUACCCUGUCGAGUUUGAAACGUGCUUUGAAGCCUCGGUGUUAGAGGUAAGAUCACUAGAAGUUAUUCUGGAUGAUCAAGCCCGUCUAGGUUCUGUGGAUUCCUAUCCUGUCAUCUGCCUUCGUUUAGGUUCGCAUGAAGCUGACAGCUUCCUGUUCUCUUCGUCUUCUGAGCCAAGCCACAAGCGUACCCUGUUCACCCUCCAACGUAAGCCACCGCACAUCGAACUAAUUCCUUUGUUCUAAGCUCACACAGAACCGCACCAAGUGAACUCUCUACGGAUAUCCCUGCUUAAGACCUGGAUCCUGAAUCUCAUUCCCCCUGGCGACCUGACCACCAUUACUCAAGAACAGCAACGUCAAACCAAUCAACAGUUAGAACAGAUCGCCACCAUGUUGCAACAAACGCUAGGUACUUCAUCCACCACUCCAGCAGAUGGCGCUACUGCGUUUCCGGAAUCCUUACCGUCACCCCAUUUUCGUGACGUCACAUCCCCUAAUCCGGAGAAAUUCUCUGAUCAUUUCGUAGCAGCCUGUCCUGGGCCGUUAAAAGACAGGGUCCGCCGGCUUUGAAGGUGGGGUUAGUGGACCAAGCUCAGAUUUGUAAAGCCCCCAGAUUCAGCUUACCGGCGACUCUUUUAGUGGGUUCAGCAAUACGGAGAGGAACUAUGACGUCGGUGACAGAGAACUCCUGGGGAUAAAAUUGGCCCUCAAGGAGUGGCGCCACUGGCUUGAGGGGGCCAAACAUCCCAUCCAAGUCUGGAGGGAUCACAAAACCUGGCCUACCUACAGUCAGCCAAAAGACUAAACCCACGUCAGUCUGGCUGGUCCUAAUUUUUUUCUCGUUUCGACUUAUGUAUUUCUUUCAUGCCCGGACCAAAGAAUACUAAGCCUGAUGCCCUCUCCAGACAAUUCGACACAGACGAUUCGGUGAGGGAACCUGCACCCAUCAUACCAGGGCACUCAGAUGGGAGAUUGAGGAGACGGUAUUAAGGGCUCAACUACAGGAGCCAGAUCCUGGUAAUGGACCACCUAACCGUGUCUACGUCCCAUACACAGUACGAGCUCGAUUAAUCAAUUGGCUACACACAGCAAGGUUUUUGGCUCAUCCAGGUGUUAGUAGAACUAUUGCAUUGGUUCAAAGGAGGUUUUGGUGGCCAUCAUUACAUAAAGAUGUGAAGGAAUUUGUUCAGUCUUGUGCCACUUGUGCUAGGAAUAAGUCUUGCAACCAGUCUCCUGCAGGUCUUCUCUAACCUCUAAGCAUCCCAAGUCGUCCCUGGUCUCACAUAGCUUUGUAUUUUGUUGCUGGUCUUCCCCUCUCCUCAGGUGUGACAACUAUUCUCACUAUUGUGGACCGUUUUUCUAUAUCGUGUCAUCUCAUCCCCCUCAGAAAACUUCCUUCAGCCCCUCAAACUGCCAAAUUUCUCACUAAACAUGUUUUUCGUCUCCAUGGAAUACCACUGGACAUCUUAUCUGACUGAAGCCCAGUUUUGAAAACAGUUUUGUUUAGCUCUCGGAGCCAGGGUUUCAUUGACUUCAGGUUACCACCCACAGUGUAAUGGUCAGACCGAAAGAUUAAAUCAGCAGCUAGAAUCAACCCUACGAUGUCUCACGUCCACUAACCCUUCUGACUGGUACGCAUAUCUACCUUGGGUGGAGCAUGCCUUAAAUUCACACAUUUUCUCUGCCACUGGACGUUCACCAUUUGAGGCCUCACUGGGUUAUCUGCCACCCCUGUUUGCUGCUGAUGAAAGAGAAAUCACUGUGUCAUCCAUCCACCAACAUGUCCGCCGCUGUAAGACCAUUUGGAACUGAACUGUCCAGAGGCUCCAUCGCACUGCUGAUCGCAAACGCAGACCUGCACUGGAGUAUCAGCCUGGACAAAAAGUUUGGUUGUCGGCACGUGAUGUGCCCCUUAAGUCCAUGUCAAGGAAGCUUUCGUCUCGUUUCAUUGGUCCCUAUGAGAUCGAGACGGUAAUUAGUCCAUCUGCUGUUCGUCUUCGCCUCCAAAUCUUCGUUUCCAUCCUACCUUCCAUGUCUCCCAGAUCAAACCAGUGGUCUCCAGUGAUUUGUAUGUGGGUCAGAGCUAUUUCGAAUACAAUGACAGUCCUAUGAAAUAACCAAAAAACUACAAAAAGCAAAUGGGUACACACUGUCAGUUAUUUUGUUUUAUUCAUAUUAUUUAACAUCAUGUGUAGGGAUGGGUGCCUUUCACAUUUUAAACGAUAUGGUACCGGUACCUGGGAAUUGAUACUGGUACUCAACAGUACCAGUUUUCGGUACUUUGUGUGUGUUAAUGUGGAAAUAAAUGUUAAUUUGUUUAAUAAUAAAAUUUCAAAAAUUUUCAAAUUAACAUUUAUUUCUCAAUAUAUAAACUUUAAAGAAUAUUUCAAAACAACAUCCAGCUGUCUGUAUAUUCAACAUCUCGGUUGUUUGAAACAUUUCUUCAACAUUAAAACCCUUAACUGA